rnacentral:tRNA from 1 species
GGGGAUGUAGCUCAAUGGUGGAGAACUUGCCUGCCAAGCAUGCAGGAGGUCCUGGGUUCCAUCUCCG